rnacentral:rRNA from 1 species
GACGAACGCUGGCGGCGUGCCUAAUACAUGCAAGUAGAACGCUGAAGGAGGAGCUUGCUCUUCUGGAUGAGUUGCGAACGGGUGAGUAACGCGUAGGUAACCUGCCUGGUAGCGGGGGAUAACUAUUGGAAACGAUAGCUAAUACCGCAUAACAGUAGAUGUUGCAUGACAUUUACUUAAAAGGUGCAAUUGCCUCACUACCAGAUGGACCUGCGUUGUAUUAGCUAGUUGGUGGGGUAACGGCUCACCAAGGCGACGAUACAUAGCCGACCUGAGAGGGUGGUCGGCCACACUGGGACCGGGACACGGCCCAGACUCCUACGGGAGGCAGCAGUAGGGGAUCUUCGGCAAUGGACGGAAGUCUGACCGAGCAACGCCGCGUGAGGGAAGAAGGUUUUCGGAUCGUAAAGCUCUGUUGUAAGAGAAGAACGAGUGUGAGAGUGGAAAGUUCACACUGUGACGGUAUCUUACCAGAAAGGGACGGCUAACUACGUG